GUUGCUAUGGAAAUGGAUGACAUGAAAUGGAUCCGUACGGCUAAAAAAUCUCCUCGAACCCUCCUCACCUCGUGUUUUUACAGACAUCACUGCCAAGAACCUGACACGUCAUAAGGAGAUUGAUAUCAGCCGAGUCCAGUGGAGCCGGCGCUGAAGAAAGGGGCUGAAGAUUGGCCGCUGCCCGCUCUAGCACCAGGAUCCUCUACAGCCGUCUGGGGUGAGGGGUGGAGGAGACGAGGUGCCUGGCUGGGGCUGGGUGGAUGCUGCCUGGAGGAGGGGAGGCCACGGCAGCAGCAGAGGCAGCGGGAGGAAGAUGGCAUCCACAUGCAUGCAGAUCUUCGCCUUCAUCCUGGCGCUGUUGGGCAUCAUGGGGGCCAUGGUGGCCACACUGCUGCCCAAUUGGAAGGUGAGUGCCGACGUGGGCUCCAACAUCAUCACAGCCAUCUCCCAGAUGCAGGGGCUGUGGAUGGACUGCACCUGGUACAGCACCGGCAUGUUCAGCUGCACCUUGAAGUACUCGGUGCUGUCGCUGCCCGCCUACCUGCAGACUGCCCGCACCACCAUGGUGCUGUCCUGUGUGAUGGCUGCCAUGGGCCUGUGUCUGGCAUCCCUGGGGCUCAAAUGUACCCGCUGGGGGGGCGGCCGGCGCUCCAAGAGGCACGCGGCCAUCGCCAGCGGGGGCUGCUUCAUCGCCGCCGGCUUCCUGUGCCUGGUGCCCGCUUCCUGGUUCACCAACGAGGUCAUCACUAACUUCCUGGACCGCAGUGUGCACGAGAGCAAUAAGUUUGAGCCCGGGGGGGCCGUGUACGUGGCCUUCCUGUCGGCAGGCUUCCUCUUCGUGGGGGGGUCCAUCUUCUGCGUGUCUUGCUCGGGGAAGAGGCCCGGUCACCAGGACAUGAUCUUACUGCCCCCCCCCAACAAACUCAUACUGCAGCAGCAACAGCAGCUCCUACAGCAACAGCAGCAGGACCAGCACCAGUACUGCUCCCUCUCCCCACUAGACAAUAAGACAGGCUACAGCCUGCAGGACUAUGUGUAGGCUAAAGCAACAAGCCACUUGCUACUGCUAGGCACACCAGUUAGAGGAACAACCAGGGCUUACACUGCGUAAGAGAUUGAGGAGGAGACUAGAGCAGAGGGGAAGGACUUUGAUGGCGUCUCUCUUUCCCCUCUUUUUCUGUUCUGCAAGCACAAGCAGUGGAGGUAUUCCCCGAGCAGCCCCUUGGAACAGACGGACGGAUGGUGAAUGUGAAAUGCAGCGCAGCCGGGGGAGGAAGGGAAGCGCUGCAGAAUGGGAGGGGAGCCGCAGCGACACAUGCAGAUACCCCAGCAAUCAUCAGUAAAUCCAUUAAGACUUCCCGGGGGAAUGGAUUAGCUGAUAACAAGCCUCCCGUUAAUUUCCUUUUCCUCGCCAAAGGGCGAGCAGAUGGCUAAGCCCAGCUCGCCACCUGCAGGCGGCUGCCUGCACACUGGAGGCAUCACUAGAGGUCCUGGCAGCCUGUUUCAUACCCCAUGUAUAGAGAAGAGAGGACCGGACUGGGCAUCAGUAUAAUAAUAAUACACUGCCCAAUGCCCAGGCACCCCUUACGAAUGCAAUAAAAUGAUGAGAAGAAUGUCAAUGUGCCCUCGUGAACAGUCUGAAUACAUACCAACACAUACGUGUUGGAGAAUGUGCCAAAUCAACUCCUGUCAAGUUUGAUACUGCAAGUAGUUCAUACGGUUUACUUUUUCAAUUACAUUUGUUUGUAUGUGAAUUAUACAUUGGCAUAUGGUUUUAUGGAGUAAUUAUUUGUUGUGCGAGGCCAAGUCUUGAGUAAGCUAGACACUUGUGUACAGUAGGAUGCAGAUUUCCAUGGUUCCUUUUUCAACCUUAUUAUUCCAAAGCACACAAUUUCAGACGCAUAAACAAUUCUGAUUUCGUCGGGAAAGCCUUGAAACACUUGUUCAUUUUUUAUUUGUUGUAAUGUUUAAAUCGUGCUUCUGCAGAGAACAGUAUGCAUUUGGCUAGGACAUUUGUGGACUUAUUAGAUUUUUUUCUGCCAAGGUAACUUUCUUUCCUAUUUAGUUCAAAUGUCUUUUAUCAUGUUCAUACACUGCAUCUUCUUCAUAAGAAGACUACUUGACUGCACCUUUGCUUGUGUUACCUUGUUGGACAGCGCAGUUUGUUUCAAGCGGCUGAGCAUUGCAAGUCCUCUGGACCGGUUCAAAUGUACGUAACACAACUGGCAGUCUGAAAAAGAGCAAAGCCAUUUCUGUCUGAUGUGAUUUGAGCAGGCCAAUGUGAGCUGGAGGUUUGUUCCGUUGUGUAGAUGUGCAGCCUGUUCCUCAGCCAGCGCACCAUUUCAUUAGCUUCAAAUGGUCUAGAUGUCUAAACAGCUGCAGCUCUCCUGCAGAACCAAGACAGGAAUUAUCAUUUUGAUAAUUGCAGCUUAUUUUCGUGGAUGCUUCAGCACUUCUUAAUUUGCCAGAGGAUUUUCAACAGUUCAAGUGUUCUGGUUACUGUUGUCUAAAUGUGCUUGUGCAAGUAGUUAUAUUUUUUACCAAUAAAAAAAUAUUUUGUGGAAGCAGA